rnacentral:rRNA from 1 species
GACGGAGGGUGCAAGCGUUGCUCGGAAUCACUGGGCGUAAAGCGACCGCAGGCGGCCUGACAAGUCGGAUGUGAAAGCCCUGGGCUCAACUCAGGAAUUGCAUUCGAAACUGGCAGGCUUGAGUACGGGAGAGGGGGGUGGAAUUCCUGGUGUAGGGGUGAAAUUCGUUGAUAUCAGGAGGAACACCGGCGGCGAAGGCGGCCCCCUGGCCCGCAACUGACGCUCAUGGUCGAAAGCGUGGGGAGCAAACAGG